CAUGUACUCCCUCCGUCCGAAAAUACUUUUCAUCAAAAUGGACAAAAAGGGAUGUAUCAAGACUAAAAUACAUCUAGAUACAUCCCCUUUUAUUCAUUUUGAUGACAAGUAUUUCCGGACGGAGGGAGUAUAUC
rfam:Triticum aestivum genome assembly, contig: Triticum_aestivum_CS42_TGACv1_scaffold_224594_3B